GAUGAACGCUGGCGGCGUGCUUAACACAUGCAAGUCGAACGUGAAGACGUAGCAAUAUGUCUGAAAGUGGCGAACGGGUGAGUAACACGUGGGUGACCUGCCUCGGAGUGGGGGAUAACCAUGGGAAACUGUGGCUAAUACCGCAUGGGCUUGUUAGACUUGGCGUCUAACGAGUAAAGCUUUAGUGCUUCGAGAGGGGCCUGCGUCCGAUUAGGUAGUUGGUGAGGUAAGGCUCACCAAGCCGAUGAUCGGUAGCUGGUCUGAGAGGACGAUCAGCCACACGGGAACUGAGAACGGUCCCGACUCCUACGGGGGCAGCAGUGGGGAAUCUUGCGCAAUGGACGAAAGUCUGACGCAGCAACGCCGCGUGGGUGAUGAAGGUCUUCGG
rnacentral:rRNA from 1 species